GAGUGGACAGUGAGAGAGAGAGACAGAGAGAGAAAGGUCUUCCUUUUGCCGUUGGUUCACCCUCCAAUGGCCGCCGCUGCAGCCGGCGCACCGCGCUGAUCCAAUGGCAGGAGCCAGGAUCCAGGUGCUUUUCCUGGUCUCCCAUGGGGUGCAGGGCCCAAGCACCUGGGCCAUCCUCCACUGCACUCCCUGGCCACAGCAGAGAGCUGGCCUGGAAGAGGGGCAACCGGGACAGAAUCCGGCGCCCCGACCGGGACUAGAAGCCGGUGUGCCGGCGCCGCUAGGCGGAGGAUUAGCCUAGUAAGCCGCGGCGCCGGCCUGUGUUCUUUUUUUAAAAAAAAUUAAUUUACUUAAAGGCAGAAUGACUGAGAGGGAGAGACUGAGGAGAUCGUCUGUCCAUUGGUUCAUGCUCUAAAUGGCUGCAACAACUGGGUUGGGCCAGCUUGAAGUCAGAGCCUGGAGUUUCCUGCAUGGGUAGCACGUGCCAAGCACUUGGGCCGUAUUCUACUGCUUUCCCAUUACUUGCUGUGCCAAGAUACUGGGCUCCUCUUUGUGUUUUCUUGCAGUGAAAAACCUUAAACAGAUUUUUUUCCCCAUUAUUUAUCUUUAAUGCUUAAACUGGGGCUGUGUUUCAUCCAUUUUAUUUUUGUAAGUUUUAUAGUCUUCUGGUUAUAACAUCUUUUUUUUUUUUUUUAGAAUUUAUUUUUUUUAAAUAUUAUUUGAAAGGCAGAUUGGCAGGGAAAGAGGGAGAGACACAGAGAAAGAGAGCUUCCAUCCUUAGUUUCACUUGCCAAAUGGCUGCAGUAGUUGGGGCUGGACCAGGCUGAAGCCAGGAAUCAGAAAUUCUAUCUGGGUUUUGCUUGUGGGUGGCAGGGCCCAAGUACUUGGACCUUCUUCCACUGUUUUCCGAGGCACAUUAAUAGGGAGGUGGAUUGGAAGUGGAGCAGCUGCGACAUAUACCAGCACUCCAGUAUGGGAUGCAGGUGUCACAGGCUGUGGCUUAACUUGUGCCACAGUGCCAGCCCCUGGUUAUAACAUUUUAUGAGUUUAUGAAAAUGUCACUCUGUCACUUUUUUUGUUUCCAUUGCCUUUGUCCAGUUCCUUGUCAUCUCACAUUUGAAAUUUAUAAUUAAGGUAAUAGUUGCUAACAUUUGUUGAAUAAUUUUUCUAGACUAAUUAAAUGUUAAUAUUAGUAGCAAAUGUUUUUAUAUGUACUGUUUCUCUUAGCCACAUAGCAACCUUAUAAAAUAUGCAUUAUUAUUAUUAUUAUUCUAGUUUAUAGAUGGAAACUGAGACUUAGGUUUAGUAAUUUAUUUCUAUUACUAGCUUACAGCUAGCAAGUACCAGAGUAGGUCUGUCUGCCUGACUGUAAUGCCCAGGCUCUUAACCAGUACCUGCUAACUGGUUGUUCUGUUUCUAAUUUCUUCUUCCCUUGUCCAUAUACGAUUGUCCUGAAUUCUUCAAUCAAAAUAAUACUAAUAAAACAUUAUUUUCAUUCUCUUAAUGUCCUUCUCUGAAAUAAUCACCACACUCCAUUUCUUUUUUUUUUUUUAAGUUUAUUUAUUUAUUUGAAAGGCAAAAUGACAAAGAAACAGAGAGGUAUCUUCUAUCUGCUGGUUUACUCCCCAAAUAUCUGCAACAAUCAGAGCUGGGCCAGACCAAAGCCAGGAGCCAGGAACUCCAAACAGGUCUCACAAAUUAUGUCAGAAACCUAAGUACUUAGACUAUCAUACGCCUUCCAUGUACAUUAGCAGGAAGCUGGAUCUGAAGCAGAUGUGGAACUUCAUCCCAGAUACUCCAAUAUAGGAUGCUGUGUUCCAAGCAGUGGCUUAACCUGCUGUACCACAAUGCCUACUCUCUAUUUCUUUGAAGCAGGGGCCAUAUUCUUAAACUUGGCAUAUAUGAUAUUUAGUAUUAUGCACCAAAUUAUAUUCAUAACUUUAAUAUUAAUCAUCUGUUCACAUUUCUACUCUAGCCCAAUACUCUGAAUACUCUGAAUACUCAUUCGUACCUUCAAGCUUUUGGUUAUACUGCUUCCUAUGUAGAAUAUACCCAUCCUGUCCCUAUCUGUAAAUCGGGAUCCUGUGCUUGUCCUUUACUUGAUUUUUAACUUUUAUAUAUUUUACUUGAAAGGCACAGAGAGAGUGACAGACAGAGGGGUCCCAUUUGUGGGUUUACUCUGAAAGUGUCUGCAAAUCUGGGGCUAGGUCAGGCUGAAGCUGGAAGCCAGGAACUCAAUUCAGGUCUGCUACAUGGGUGGUAGGGACCCAAGGACUUGAGCCAUCACCUGUGGCCUCUCAGGGUACUCAUUAGCUGGAAGCUAGAAUUGGGAGUGGAACAGGGAUUAGAAUCCAGGCACUGUGAUAUGUGAUAUGGGUAUCCCAAGCAAUGUCUUAACCACUAUGCCAAAAAAUUCUCCCCCACCCCUACUUUCUUCUUAAAACUUCCUCCCAGGCCGGCGCCGAGGCUCAAUAGGCUAAUCCUCCACCUAGCGGCUCCGGCACACCGGGUUCUAGUCCCGGUCGGGGAACCGGAUUCUUUCCUGGUUGCCCCUCUUCCAGGCCAGCUCUCUGCUGUGGCCAGGGAGUGCAGUGGAGGAUGGCCCAAGUGCUUGGGCCCUGCACCCCAUGGGAGACCAGGAGAAGCACCUGGCUCCUGGCUUCGGAUCAGCGCGGUGCACCAGCCACAGUGCGCCGGACAUGGCGGCCACUGGAGGGUGAACCAACGGCAAAAGGAAGACCUUUCUCUCUGUCUCUCUCUCUCACUAUCCACUCUGCCUGUCAAAACAAAAAAUUAAAAAAAAAAAAAAUUUAAAACUUCCUCCCAGAAAUCUAGGACUGUGUCCCUUUGUAUGUGGGACUAUGGUCUUUUAUUUUGACAUGAAAUUGUAAAUGUAUUUCAUAAAUGAGUGUAAUUCAUUUCUUUAACAAAACAAGUUUUUGGGGUCUGGCUGUUGUUUUUCUUCCAUAUGUUUUUUUCUUUAAAUAUCCAGUGCCCGGGUGUUUUAUUAAAUCUUAGGCCUAUGGAUCCAACCAACUUAAUUUUGUGACUUAAGUUUUAAAAUGUUGAUAUUGUUUAUUAUUAAGAUGUAACCUUUAAACUUGGAAAGAUAAUUCAUUCUAGCAAGGGAAAUAACUAAAAAAGUGCAAUACUCAAUGUUAUUAGCAAGAUUUUGUGGUUUGUAAUAAAAGUAAAUUUUGAUGAAUUGGAAAUCAGUAUAAGUUUUUAAAAGUUGAUAGGUUAGUUUUGCCCAGCAUAGGACAAGUUGGAAACUUCAGUUAUCCAAUGUAUUGUUAUACUUGUUAACUUUAGAAUGUGUAGGACUUGGGGCAAACAUUGUGGUGUAGCUGCUGCCUGUGAUGCUAGCAUACCAUGUGAGCACCGGUUUGAGACUCGGCUGCUCCAUUUCUGAUCCAGCUCCCUCCUAAUGCACCUGGGAAAUCAGCUGAAGAUGGCCCAAGGUCUUGGGCCCCUGUCACCCGUGUAGGAAACCCUGAUGAGUUCCACGCUCCUGGCUUUGGGCUGGCCUAGUCCUGGGUGUUGUGACCAUUUGGGGAGUAAACCAACAGAUAGAUGAUCUCUCUCUCUCUCCCUCUUCCUCUCUCUGCCUCCGACUCUGCCUUUCAAAUAAUUAAAUAAAUCUUAAAUGUGUAGGACUUGACUUGGGAUAACAAGAUAAGGUCUGCUAUUCAUCCUUAUUAAGAUUGCUCUGCCUGUCAAAAAAAAAAAAGAUUAAUUUCUGAAUUGGCUUCCCAUAUUUGGUACAUUUUUUUGUUUCUUGUUCAUAUAAAGUAAGAGUUAUUUAAGUUUUUUUUUUAUCUUUUAUUUAAUGAAUAUAAAUUUCCAAAGUACGUCUCAUGGGUUACAAUGGCUUUCCCCCCCAUACCGUCCCUCCCACCCACCACCCUCCCCUUUCCCACUCCCUCUCCCCUUCCAUUCACAUCAAGAUUCAUUUUCGAUUAUCUUAGUAUACAGAAGAUCAGCUUAGUAUACCUUAAGUAAGGAUUUCAACAGUUUGUUCCCACACAGAAACAUAAAGUGAAAAAUAAUAGAUGAUUUUUUUUUAAAUGAUGAUGAAAUCAGAUCAGACCUAUUGUCAUGUUUAAUCCCAGUGAGAGUCAAGUUGGGAAUUGAUAGUUUCUUUUUUUUUUUUUUUAACAGAAGAUCAGUUUAGUGUACAUUAAGUAAAGAUUUCAAUCGUUUGCACCCCCAUAGAAACACAAAGUGAAAUAUACUGUUUGAGUACUCGUUAUAGCAUUAAGCCUCAGUGUACAGCACAUUAAGGACAGAGAUCCUACAUGAGGAGUAAGUGCACAGUGACUCCUGUUGUUGACUUUACAAAUUGACACUCCUGUUUAUGGCAUCAAUAAUCUCCCUAUGCACCAGUCAUGAGUUUCCAAGGCUAUGGAAGCCCCUUGAGUUCUCCGACUCUUAUCUUGUUUAGACAAGGUCAUAUUCAAAGUGGAGGUUCUCUCCUCCCUUCAGAGAAAGGCACCUCCCUCUUUGAAGACCUGUUCUUUCCACUGGGAUCUCACUCACAGAGAUCUUUUUGCCAGAGUGUCUUGGCUUUCCAUGCCUGAAAUACUCUCAUGGGCUUUUCAGCCAGAUCCGAGUGCCUUUAGGGCUGAUUCUGAGGCCAGAGUUAUUUAAGUUUUAAAAGCAGAAGUGGCACUGGUCUAGGUCCAGCCUGCCAAAUCAUACUAUUUUAUGUGUCCCAUGUCAGUUCAAACAUUGCCCUGUAUCCUGUUCUUUUUAUAAGGAGUGAUUAGAUAUUAAUUACUGUGAAGGCCAGGGGCAGUCUUUUUUUUUUUUAAUUUAUUUAUUCAUAUGAAAGGCAGAGUUACAGAGAAGCAGAGGCAGAGAGAGAGAGAGAGGUGUCUCCUCAAAUGGCCACAAUGGCCGGAGCUGGGCCAAUCUGAAGCCAGGAGCCUGGAGCUUCUCUCUCCAAAUGGCUGAAAUAGCCGGAGCUGAGCCUAUCUGAAGCUGGGAACCAGGAGCUUCUUCUGGGUCUCCCACAAGCGUGUAGCAGUCCAAGCACUUGGACCAUCCUCUGCUGUUUCCCCAGGUACAUUAGCAGGGAACUGGAAUUCAAAUCAGUGCCUAUAUAGGAUGCAGACAUUGUAGGCCAGGGCUUUAACCCACUGUGCCACAGUGCCAGCCCCAGAAAAGUUUAUUUUUAUUUAUUUGAAAGGCAGAGCGCAAGUGAGAUCCCAGUGGAAAGAAUGGGCCAUCAAAGAAGGAGGUGCCUUUCUCUGAAGGGAGGAGAGAACUUCCACUUUGACUAUGACUUUGUCUAACUGAGAUCUGAGUUGGCGAACUCAAAAGGCUUCCAUAGCCUUGGCAACUCAUGACAAGAGCCUAGGGUGAUUACUGACUCCAUAAACAAGAGUGUCAAUUUGUUAAGUCAACAACAGGAGUCACUGUGUACUUAACUCCUCAUGUAGGAUCUCUGUCCUUAAUGCAUUGUACAUUGUGAUUUAAUGCUAUAACUAGUACUCAAAAAAUACUUUAUACUUUGUGUUUCUGUGUGGGUGCAAACUGUUGAAAUCUUUACUUAAUAUAUGCUAAACUGAUCUUCUGUAUAUAAAGAUAAUUGAAAAUGAAUCUUGAUGUGAAUGGAAUGGGAGAGGGAGUGGGAGAUGGGAGGGUUGCAGGUGGGAGGGAAAUUAUGGGAGGGAAAAGCCACUGUAAUCCAUAAGCUGUACUUUGGAAAUUUAUAUUUGUUAAAUAAAAGUUUUAAAAAAAAGAAAGGCAGAGCAACAGAGAGAUAUAUAUAUAAAGAGAUCUUUCAUCUACUGGUUCACUUCCCAAAUGCUCAAAGAUAAAAGAUAUUUCUUGUUGUCUUUUUUUUUUUUUUUUUUUUGAGAGUGGAAGGUUUCUCUGAAAACCUCUACAUUUUUUGGGCCAGAAUUGAAUAAUAUGCUACUUUCUGAUCCAACCACUUUCAUUACCCUUAGUCUAAGUACGUCCCUGAAUCUGGGAUGGUGUUAGCUUCCCCUGAGGCAUAUGGUUGUAUUUGGGAGAGAAUGUCAAGAAGGAAGUGGGAAGGCCACUCUGGAAAGUAAUUAGGAAAAAUACAGCUGUCAUCAAAGUUCUUGUCUGUGUUUGUAAAUAAAAAGUAAUAAGGUUGGGCAUGGUGGCGUCCUUGGGGACAUCUAUAUCCUAUAUUGGAGUGCCUAGUUUGAGUCCAGCUUCCUGCUAAUGUACCUGAGAGGCUGUGGAUGAUGGCUCAAGUAUUUGGGUUCCUGCCACCCUGUGGAAAAUCCAAAUUCAGUUCCUGGCUUCUGGCUUUGUCCUAGCCUAGCCCCAGUUGUUGCAGGCAUUUUGGGAAGUGGAUCAGCAAUUGAGAGAUCUCUGUCUCCCUCUCUCUCUGUUAUUCUGUCUAUUAAACAAAUAUUUUAAAGUAGUAAUAGCAAAUUUAUUUUUUCCUUUUCAUAACAAAUCUAGCUAUGGGAAACUCAUUUUCAUUUUCAGAAUUGAAAUCAGGGUCAUAUACUAUCAAGAGUUAAAUAUAAGGGCAGCGCCGGCACACCGGGUUCCAGUCCCGGUCGGGGCGCCGGAUUCUGUCCCGGUUGCCCCUCUUCCAGGCCAGCCCUCUGCUGUGGCCAGGGAGUGCAGUGGAGGAUGGCCCAGGUGCUUGGGCCCUGCACCCUAUGGGAGACCAGGAAAAGCACCUGGCUCCUGGCUCCUGCCAUCGGAUCAGCGCGGUGCGCCGGCCGCAGCGCGCCGGCCGCGGCGGCCAUUGGAGGGUGAACCAACGGCAAAGGAAGACCUUUCUCACCUGUCUCUCUCUCUCACUGUCCACUCUGCCUGUCAAAAAAAAAAAAAAAAGAGUUAAAUAUAAGACAAGCCUUUUUCUGUCUUUCUUAUCAAUUGUGUACUAGAAGGUGAGGGAGCUGACUUAUCUGGCAGUUUUUUCAUUUGAGGAAUAUAGGCUUUGGAUGACUGACCACUCACAUCAGUUUGUGAGGAAAAAAUGAAUCUUGUUUGUACCCUAAUUGAAGACCAACGAGUAACAGCAGAAAUGAUAUCCAGCAUUAUAGAUUUCAGUUGUUUCAAUUUACAGAAACAAUUUUUACAGAAACAAUUCUUUUUUUAUUUUUUAAGAUUUAUUUAUUUGAAAGAGUUACACAGAGAAGGAGAGGCAGAGAGAGAGAGAGAGAGAGAGAGAGAGGUCUUCCAUCCACUGGUUCUCUCCCCAGAUGGUCGCAAUGGCUGGAGCUGCGCUGAUCCGAAGCCAGGAGCUAAGAGUUUCUUUGGUCUCCCACGUGGGAGCAGGGGCCCAAGGACUUGGGCCAUCUUCUGCUGCUUUCUCAGGCCAUAGCAGGGAGCUGGAUUGGAAGCAGAGCAGCUGGGAGACAAACUUUCACCCAUAUGGGAUGCCAGCACUGCAGGUGGCGGCUUUACCCCCUACGCCAUAUCGCUGGCCUCAGAAAUAAUUCUGACUGAAAAAUAAUAUGGAGUAAUUUUUUUGCUUGGUGUUUACCAAAACUUGCUCCCAGAUCAGCUGCAGAAAAAGCAGAACUUUGAAUGGAGAUUAAAAACAGGUAGGAUCAAGAUCCGGAAGGAUUUCUUUAAAGAAUUCUAACAGGCAAUGAAAUGACUUAUCAGUAUGAACCUGAAGACAAAGCACAACCAAAAUAAUGGCAAUGAAGAGGUGAAAGUGGUCCAAUCAAAGUGCAACUAGACAAAUCAAAACAGGCCUUUUCUUCUCAACAGUUUAUGCACAGGAAUAAUUUUAUGCAGAUUGGAAAGCAAAUAAUUAUACAUUACAUAUUUUUGUAUUCAGGGAAAGCAUAUGGUUCUUGUCUUUUUGGGACUGGCUUAUUUCACUAAUUUUGGCUCAAAGUCUAAAUGAACUUAAUAUCUUGUAACCACACAGGAAGUAUUUAGAUGUUACGUUGUUAUUGGUUCUGUUUCACUGAAAGAAAUUAUACAUGACUAAUUGACAAAAAAUUGUAUAUGAGUGAAAUGAUCAUUUAUACAUUCAAUAAUUUAUAGCUGUUAUUGAUAUUCAUAUUAAAUUAGGGUCUUUUUGCUUUUUACUUGUUGAACUUCUUAUUCAGUGAAGUAUUAAACCUUUUUAUUGUAAUGUAAAUUUAAAAUAUCUUUUUUUUAAAAUGAACUCCCUGAACUUUUUUAAUAUUUUAUUUAUUUAUUUGAAAUUCAGAGUUACAUAGAGAGAGGAGAGGCAGAGAGAGAGAGAGAUAGAGGUAUUCCCCAAUUGGCCUCAAUGGCCGGAGCUGUGCCGAUCCAAAGCCAGGAGCCAGGAGCUUCUUCCAGGUCUCCCACAUGGUGGCAGGGGCCCAAGGACUUGCACCAUCUUCUACUGCCUUCCCAGGUCAUAGCAGAGAGCUGGAUUGGAAUGGAGCAGCCAGGACUAGAAUCGGUGCCCAUAUGGGGUGCUGGUGCUUCAGGCCAGGGUGUUAACCUGCUGCGUCAAGUCCGACCCCUAAAAUAUCUUAAAAACUAAAAAAAAAAAAGAAAGGUGGAAGGAAGAGUGUGAGGGAGGAGGUGAAUAUCAUUAUGUUCUUAGACUUGUAUCUACAAAUUGUAUUGAAUCUGUUAAAAAAUUAAUUAAAACAAUAUUUUUAAGAUAAAACAAUAGCUAUGGGAAUAGUUUUUUGAAAUGCUGAAGUAAUUUUGUAUGUUCACUUUCUGAAGGGUCAAAGGGCAAUAAUAUCUGCUUAUUAGGAGAGUAUGUUUUGACAACCCAAAGUUUUAGCAGAAAAAUGGGAAAGCUUCAUCAGAGAGUUUUUCUCCACAAUAGUGCUCCUGCUAAUUCCUCUCAUCUAGCAAGAAAAUUUUAUGCAGGCUUAAAAAAAGUGUUUUUUUUGUUUUGUUUUGUUUUGUUUUUAGCAGGGAGAGAGACAGAGAUAGAAAAAUCUUUUGUCUACUGGUUUAUUCCCUAAUGCCCAUGACAGCUGGGGCUGGAGCUGGAGCUAGGAACUAAAUCUGGGUCUCCCAUGUGGUUUUUAGGGACCAUCACCAUCUUCCUUCUAGAGUGCACAAUUCUAGCAAGAAUUGAGAGCAGAGCUGAGACUUGAACCUAGGCAUUCUGAUACGGGAUAUGUGUGUCUCAAGCAGUGUCCUAACAGUUGUAACAAAUGCCCACCCUGAGAGUUUUGAUGGCAGAACAUUUGGCAUCUACUUUACAGUCCUGAUUUGGUUCCUUUUUUUUUUUUUUUUUUUUAAAGAUUUAUGUAUUUGAAAAGCAAAGGAACAGAGAAAGAAUAAGAGAGUGAGAGAGAGAGAGACAGAGUGCUUCCAUCCAACAAUGGUUUACUCCCCAAAUUCAUGCAAAAGCCAGGGCUGGGCCAGACUGAAACCAGGAGCCAGGAACUCCAUCUGAGUCUCCCAAGUACUUGAACCAUUAUCUGUCUCCUUCCCAGGUGCAUUAGCAGGAAGCUGGAUUGGGAGCAGAGUAGCCCAAACUGAAGCAGGCACUCUAAUCUGAGAUAUGGGCAUCCUAAGUGGUGAUUUAACCUGCAGUGCCAUAGUGCCUUCUUUAGUAUAUGACUUUAAAGUAAGACAUACAUUAUAUCUUUGAAUUAACAUAUGUAAGUAUUGAUUUAUCUAAUAUGUUGGAAAUCUAGAGGCAGUAUAAUGGAGUAAUUAAGAAAGGGGCUUUGGAAUCAGAGCAUCUGAGUUCAGAUUGUGCCUUUGCCACUUUAGAAUAUGUUACUUGGGAAGUUUAGUUAUCUUUUCUGUGUUGUGGUUUCCCCAGCUAAAAAUGGGGUGAUAAAGGAUUCAGUAAAUCAAUAAUUGUAGUAUACUUAGUGUAGUACCUGGAAUAUAUUAAAUAUCCAUACAUUGUUUGUGUAUUCAUGUUUUUCAAGGGAUAUUUGAUUGUCAAACUCUGUGAGCAAAGCAUAGCAGGGAACAAAGCAACAAAAAUUUCUGCCUUCAUGGUGUGUAUAUUUCUUUUUUUUUUUAAGAUUUAUUUUAUUUAUUUGAAACACAGAGUUACAGAGAGAGUUAGAGACACAGAGAGAAGUCUUCCAUCCACUGGUUCACUCCCCAGAUUGCCUCAAUGGCCAGAGCUAUGCUGAUCUGAAGCCAGGAGCUUCUUCCAGGUCUUCCAUGCGGGUGCAGGGGCCCAAGGACUUGGGCCAUCUUCUAUUUUUAUUAUUUAUUUAUUUAUUUUGACAGGCAGAGUGGACAGUGAGAGAGAGAGACAGAGAGAAAGGUCUUCCUUUUCCAUUGGUUCACUCCCCAAUGGCCGCUGCACUACGGCCAGUGCACCAUGCUGAUCCGAAGCCAGGAGCCAGGUGCUUCUCCUGGUCUCCCAUGCAGGUGCAGGGCCCAAGCACUUGGGCCAUCCUCCAGUGCCUUCCCGGGCCACAGCAGAGAGCUGGCCUGGAAGAGGGGCAACCGGGACAGAAUCCGGCGCCCCGACCGGGACUAGAACCCGGUGUGCCGGAGCCGCUAGUGGAGGAUUAGCCUAUUGAUCCGCGGUGCCAGCCCAGGCCAGGGCUUUAACCCGUUGCACCACAGUGUCAGCCCUGGUGUGUACAUUUCUAAAUAAAAGGGGAGAGAGAGAAUAAACAAAUUCUUAAAUGAAGUACAUAGUGAUGGUGAUAAAUGUUAUGGAGAAACAGCUGAGAACAAAAAUAGACAGUUCUGGGUGAGGGGAACUGCUGUGAGGGAAGCACGCCAUUCAGAUAGAUGACAGGUGGAGGAUGGGGGAGUGGGCCAGGUGGAGAAUGUCAGGUGAUUGACCAGGUGAAGGAGCAUCUUUGUGAGAUGUUCAGUGAUGACCUGUGAGGCCAGUGUGACUGGAAUGGAAACAGGGGAAGGUAGUAAGAAAUGAAGAGAAGUAAUGGUGUGAGUGAUGAGGGUUUCUAAACAUGUAGAGCAUUUUAAGACAUUCAAAGAACUUUGGGUUUUAAAAUUUGAGAUAGGAAGCCAUCAGAAUGUAUUGGACACUGAUACAUAGAUGAUUCCUGACUUAAAAGAAUCAUCUGGCUGCUGGCAAAAAGUAGGGAAUGAUGGAAGUGUAGUAACUGGUUAGGUGGCUCUUGUACCAAUCAAGCUGGAGGGAUGAUAAUGGCUUGGGCAAGGGUAGAAGUUAUGGAAGUGACAAAAAGUGGUUCCAUACUGAAUAUGCUGAAUAUUAGUAUUACCAGUUAUGUAGCAUGUUAUUUCCAAACUGUCUUCGUCUAUUUUCUGAUUUCUUAGCUUUAUAUUUCUCCAUAUGCUUGUUAAAAAUUAACUUUUAAAAUAAUACUAAAAUUGUUUGCGUGUCUGUGUAUGCAUCGUCUCUCUCUCUCCUCUCUCUCUCUUUCUCUCUCUCUCUCUCUAUAUAUAUAUACAAAAUCUAAAUUUUUACUUAUUUUUUAUUUAUGGUGGGGAGAAAAAAGGGAGGGAAGGAGGAAAACAGAGACAAAUCUCCAUCUACUUGUUCAUGCUCCCAAAUUCUCAGAAAAGCUAGAGCUGGGCCAGGAACUCAAUCCAGGAUUCCUACAUGGAUGACAGGUACCCCAAGCACUCAAGUCAUCACCUGCUACCUCCCAGGGUGUACAUUAUCAGGAAUCUGGAAUCUGGAGUAGAUCUGGGACUCGAACCCUGGAACUUGGAUUUGGGACAGUGGAGUCCUAAAUGGCAUCUUAACUGUUAUGCCAAAUACACACACCUGUUUAGAUAUUUUUGAUGCAUUUUUAAUCUUUUUUUGAGGUGUUAUAAUUCUGAUCUGUGAUGCUUGGUUGCCAAGUAUAUGUGGCUUUAGUUAUUUGAUGAAGUCGUACUCAUGAGUUACUUAUAUAAAUUUUGCUGUCUAAAUGUAGACUGUUCUAUAAUUUACUUGCAAAAGUAACUUUGGAAAGGAAAUUUUCCUGAAAUUUUUAGUUUCUUUUGUGGGCCAUGAAAGGGAAAACAAUGAAAUUGAGAAAGAAGCCAUGUUUAAUUUCAUUGGCUGGGGCUGGUGCUGUGGCUCACUUGGUUAAUCCUCUGCCUGCAGCACUGGCAUCCCACAUGGGCGCUGGGUUCUAGUCCCGAUUGCUCCUCUUCCAGUCCAGCUCUCUGCUGUGGCGCGGGAGGGCAGUGGAGGAUGGUCCAAGUGAUUGGGCCCCUGCACCCGCAUGGGAGACCAGGAAGAAGCACCUGGCUCCUGGCUUUGGAUCAGCGCAGUGCCGGCCGUGGCGGCCAUUUGGGGAGUGAACCAAUGGAAGGAAGACCUUUCUCUCUGUCUUUCUCUCACUGUCUAUAACUCUACCUGUCAAAAAAAAAAAAAAAAAGUAAUUUAAA